GAUGAACGCUGGCGGCGUGCUUAACACAUGCAAGUCGAACGAAACAUUUAGGACAGAUUACUUCGGUUUGAAGUUCUUUAUGACUGAGUGGCGGACGGGUGAGUAACGCGUGGGUAACCUGCCUUGUACUGGGGGAUAGCAGCUGGAAACGGCUGGUAAUACCGCAUAAGCGCACAAUGUUGCAUGACAUGGUGUGAAAAACUCCGGUGGUAUAAGAUGGACCCGCGUCUGAUUAGCUAGUUGGUGAGAUAACAGCCCACCAAGGCGACGAUCAGUAGCCGAGCUGAGAGGGUGACCGGCCACAUUGGGACUGAGACACGGCCCAGACUCCUACGGGAGGGAGCAGUGGGGAAUAUUGCACAAUGGAGGAAACUCUGAUGCAGCGACGCCGCGUGAGUGAAGAAGUAAUUCGUGAUGUAAAGCUCUAUGAGCAGGGAAGAUAGUGACGGUACCUGACUAAGAAGCACCGGCUAAAUACGUG
rnacentral:rRNA from 1 species